UACAGAGGUCUCAAGCGUUGUUCGGAUUCAUUGGGCGUAAAGGGUGCGUAGGUGGCGCCGUAAGUCGGGUGUGAAAUUUCGGAGCUUAACUCCGAAACUGCAUUCGAUACUGCGGUGCUUGAGGACUGGAGAGGAGACUGGAAUUCAUGGUGUAGCAGUGAAAUGCGUAGAGAUCAUGAGGAAGACCAGUGGCGAAGGCGGGUCUCUGGACAGUUCCUGACGCUGAGGAGCGAAAGCCAGGGGAGCAAACGGG
rnacentral:rRNA from 1 species